GGACAUCAGGAGGUUAGUGCAAUGGCAUAAGCCAGCUUGACUGCGAGCGUGACGGCGCGAGCAGGUGCGAAAGCAGGUCAUAGUGAUCCGGUGGUUCUGAAUGGAAGGGCCAUCGCUCAACGGAUAAAAGGUACUCCGGGGAUAACAGGCUGAUACCGCCCAAGAGUUCAUAUCGACGGCGGUGUUUGGCACCUCGAUGUCGGCUCAUCACAUCCUGGGGCUGAAGUAGGUCCCAAGGGUAUGGCUGUUCGCCAUUUAAAGUGGUACGCGAGCUGGGUUUAGAACGUCGUGAGACAGUUCGGUCCCUA
rnacentral:rRNA from 1 species